rnacentral:ncRNA from 1 species
CCAUUAAAGCGGUACGCGAGCUGGGUUUAGAACGUCGUGAGACAGUUCGGUCCCUAUCCUCUGUGCGCGCAGGAAAUUUGAGAGGAUCUGUCCUUAGUACGAGAGGACCGGGACGGACGAACCUCUGGUGUGUCAGUUGUUCCGCCAGGAGCACCGCUGAUUAGCUACGUUCGGCACGGAUAACCGCUGAAAGCAUCUAAGCGGGAAGCCGUCCUCAAGAUGAGAUUUCCACGCCUUCGGGCGAGAGGCCCCCAGCUAGACGACUGGGUUGAUAGGCGGGAUGUGGAAGCGAGGACUAACGACUCGUGCAGCUGACCCGUACUAAUAGGCCGACAGAUUGAUAAC